AUGGUGGCAUUGGUUUCCACAUUUCUAAGAGAGGAGUCAAAGAUUCUCCCUUGUUCUAGGACAAACUCUCCUAUAAGCCUGGCAGCCUGCAGGAUGCCUUCACAACUGAGGAUCAAAUGUGUGACCCUUGUACUCAGCUGCAUCCCUAGCCCUCUUUUUAUUUUGAAACAAGGUCUUGCUAAGUCACUAAGUUGCCCAGGCUUAGCCUUCGAGAGUGACGACAUUACAGGUGGGCNNNNNNNNNNNNNNNNNNNNNNNNNNNNNNNNNNNNNNNNNNNNNNNNNNNNNNNNNNNNNNNNNNNNNNNNNNNNNNNNNNNNNNNNNNNNNNNNNNNNNNNNNNNNNNNNNNNNNNNNNNNNNNNNNNNNNCACGACCACCUCCAGCUCUUCCUGUUUCCCACCCUCCUUCAAUGUACAGUUCUUUGUGAUUCAUGAAGAAAAGGUAGAAAGAUCUACAUCUCCCUUUACUUCUAACCAUAGCAAAGCCAGUGGGCAGCCAGUUCUAUUAGAAAUCUCAUUCACACUUGAGAAGUCUGCAAAUUGGCAUCGCUCAGCAGGUGUCUGCUCCUCACGGCCGGAUGUCAGGAUGAGCAGAGCAGGGGGACAGCGGACUCAAGAGUCAGUCUCUCCUGGCAGCAUCUGGGGCUGGAGCCAGGUAAACGGGCAGAAAGCCUACUUCCGGAAACAAGCAUCUGGGGAGUGGGGUCCGCUCCUGGUUGGAGAGGUGGAUGCAGGGGCCCCUGUUGGUGCGCAGAGGAGGGAGUCCUGGCUCUGAAGUCAAACACGCACGUGUCCAUCUUGGCUGCACCCCUGCACAGGUGUGUGACUUUAAGCCAGUCACUUAACGUCUUUGAGCCUUGGAUCCUUGAACUGCAGGAUGGAAUUAGUCACCUCCACCGUGGCAGGUUGUUGGGACAAGUCGGUCGUGGAUGCAGAGCUGCACAGGCACAGACUCCCCCUCCCCCACUGUCCCCUUCCCGGAAGUCAGGGCGCCCGGGAACCUCGAACCACGGUGGAGUUGUAGCCACGCCUAAGGGGUGACCCUUCCCCUCCCCAGGUCACUAUGCCCUGCAAUUCGCGGAAGAAUGAACGCACCCCAACCCCCUCCCCACCGCAAAACCACAGAAAUCAAGGACUAGAAUUUGUGGCUUGCCUCUAAGUCACUCAGCAAGAUUCACAAUUUAGUGCUUCGUGAGGUGAUCUUCUAGGUAGCCCAAAAAGGGCCUCGGGUUCCUCACCCUCACCCAUCACCCGACUUUCGCGGUCCUGGUCCAGCGCUCACAUCGCAACUGCAAGUUUCCCUGGAUGUGCGGGGAUGCGGCGCCCUCUGCUGGGCCUUCGAUGCAACUGCUCGUUAGGCGAGCAAGGGUGGAGAGUAAAAUUUCCCUGGAUCAAAUCCUUCCGGUCUUUCAUUAAAAUACUGUGCGAAAUUAACCUGGAUCUAUGAGUCCUGGAAAUUCUUAGAAGCUAGGGGCACUAUACAAGUGCCACAAUCGUCUUGGUGACAGGCCAUGUCCUGGUAGGUCCAAAGUCCAGCCACAGUGGGGUCAUGAGUGCCAGUAGAGCCAGCUGUGGUGGCAUGGGCCUGUAAUCCCAGCACUCCGGGAAGCUGAGGCAAAAGGGUUGCAAGUCUGAGCUCAGCCUGGGCAGUUUAGCGAUUUAAUGAGACCUUGUCUCAACAUUAAAAAAAAAUUUUGUUUAAAUACCUCAGUUUGAAAGACCUGGGUUCAAUUCCCAGUACCCGCCCCCCACCCCACACACAAGGGAAGCUGCUUGACUUACAGUUAGCCCCCAGAGUUUUGUCAGCUUCGUUCCCUCUAACUCAAGGGGUCUUAAACUCAGCCCUGCACCAGGAUCAGCUGCUAACCAGUCAGCUCGGUAGAAUACAGAUCACUGGGCCCCCACCUGGCUAUCUCACUCCAGGUCCAACAAAUUCCCAGCCAAGCUCUAGGCUGCUGCUCUGGGUCCACACUGAGAGAACCACUGCUCUGAAAAUUGGUCAGAUCAAUACACCCUUUCAGGUCUACGACUGGCUCAGAUCCAUGAGGAUCCCCACAGCCCACCCGAAGCCCUCAAAGUGGUGCCCACAGCAGGCAUAAUAGUGCCUGGAUGGUCCAUAAGGAUUCGUGCUCGAAAAGCAGAUCGUGUCUCCAGAUGUCUCAUGUGCUCCGGGAUUGAAACUGUGGGGUCCCUGGGGGAAGGGUUUGACCAUAUGCUUUCCUCACCAGGUUCCACCCCAAAGGGUUCUAUUACAGAGAAGCCCUGGCCUUUGAAAGAGGAGCUAUUUUCACUCUAAGAGCUGGUAAGUAGCUGGGCAUGGUGGCACAUAUCAUAAUCGCCGCAAUCUGAAGGCUGAGGUAGGAAAAUCAAAAGUUCUAUUCCACUCUGGGUAACUUAGUGAGUUAGAGAGACUUUGUCUCAAAAUUUAAAGUUUUAAAAAUGGGUUGGGGGGCCAAGAAUUUAGCUCAGUGGUGCCACCACCCGCCUCGCAAGCGCAAGGUCCCAAAUUCAAUCCCAGUACCAAAAAAAUAAAAAGUAAAAAAAUAGAAAUGGGUUGGGGACAUUGCUCAGAACAAAGGCUCUGCAUGCAUUCCCCAAUACCGCAGAAAUAAAGAGUUGGUAGGUAGGCUGAGUAGCUUCCUAAAGAAGCAGGAUUAGGGGUACUGCUGUCCCCAGUGACAUGCAGUAUGGAGGCCAUCAUCACUGGGGUCUCAAACUGUUUUGCUUAAUAAUGUUCUUACCAAGAAUCUAAGUAGUGGGGCAGGGAUUUAGCUCAAUGGUGCCUUGCCUGCCUCACAAGCACAAGGUCCCCAAUUCGAUCCCCCAUACUAAAAAAAAAAGAAUCUAAGUAGUUACAAAGGUUGUAUUGAUAUCUUUAUAAAAUAUGCCAAAUAACUGCAAUGAAAUCUGAAUAGCAGAGUGAUUUGAUAUUAAUCAUAUCUUUUUUUUUUUUUUUGGUACCGGGAUCAAACUUGGGACCUUGCGCUUGUGAGGCAGGCAGUGGAACCACUGAGCUAAAUCCACGGCCCCAGUCAUAUCCAUUUUUAAGGUACAUGGAAAAAAAAAUUCUCCUUAUUGACAGUGUUGAGUUUUACCCUCAAACUGUGCUCUAACAAAACAGCAAUGGGUUUGGAAACCCUUCCCUCCCAAUGCUUUUGUGUUCUAGAAACAACUUACUACCAAGAAGCACCCUCCCCCACCCAGCUGAGAUAAAACUCCUGGAUUCCCCUCUGGGACUCCCCGUGUGACAUCUAGUCAAAGCCAGACACAGCCACUUCCCGUUUCCAUCUUUGCUCCAUGGGACCCACUAAACUGCUUGGCCCACUGAUCAAGCAGAAGAAAAUGCUCACUCUCAUCUACUACCCAUCUCUUCUGUUCCUUCCACUUCCCACACCCACUUUUUACCAGACUCAUCCCCUAAAAAAGCAGAUGUGUGCCCCGGCAGGGGUACACAUCUGUAAUACUAGCAUUCUGAGAGGAGGAGGCUGGAGUACCACACAAGUUUGAGGUCAGCCUGAGGUGGAAUAAAAGAAAUAAAAGAGAAAGAGGAAAUCAUAACUAAACAUUGUACUUUUAAGAAGAUUCCAGCUUCUAGGACCCAGCCCAUAUUACCCAGGGUGAUCCAUAUCAGUAUUUCCUUGGUUAAAUUUAGGCUCUGGUCCUGGCAGAUCUAGCACACCCCAAAUUCCUCAGGAAUACUGAAAGUCUAUAAAUUGGAUUAAUUGAGAAAAUAAAGAGCAGAAACUUGACCCCAAAAUAAAGGAGCCGGUGGAGAAAAUUCAAAAGUGUUUAAAUUUUCUAUUAAAAAAAAACACCUGCACAUGCCUAUAGAAUGGGCUAGUACUUUUGGGGGGCACCGUUUCCCAGGGUUUCCAUCCCUGCAAGAGAAGCAUAAAUGUUCCCUGUUCCAGGAAAUAACACACCUCAUUUCUCUGAGCACCUGCACUUCAUUCUUUCUUUCUUUGUGUGUGUGUGUGUGUGUGUGUGUGUGUGCCGGGGAUCAAACUUAGGACCUCGUGCUUGCCAGGCUCCCAUUUGCCAGGCAGGCACUGUGCCACUGAGCUAAAUCCCUGGUCCUGCACUCCAUUUUUGUGUGUCCUAAAAUCUCUGCCUAAUAAACUCUUAACUUGCCUCUUACAGAAGAGUCUUGAAAAUUCUUUUUUCACAAUGCGAGUCAUCGAACCUGCACUUCUUCUACAAAAGAUUGGGUCAAGUUCCUUAUUUCAGUUUCAGGCUCUCAGACCCAGCCCAGUGACAAGCCUGGACAACUUAGUGACUUAGUGAGACCCUGCUGGGCAUUUAAUGGGUUCAACCCCAUUUUCUCUCCCCUCAAAUCAGCUCUUUGUGUAACCCUUGAGAUAUUGUAGAUUUUAUGGAUUGUUCUUCCUAUUGUGUACUCUUAGCAUCCUGCAUCACACCCUCAAAAUAACCCUUUUAAAUAAAGUCUCCCUUUACUCAAUCCGGACUAUUUUUUUACAUUCUAUGCAGCAUUCUUUACAUUUGGCUCCUGCUACAGCGUUUUA
rnacentral:lncRNA from 1 species